UACCUUGGUAUGUAUCCUCUUCCGUUGGAUUUUUUGUUGCACUGUCUUCUGGCGGCGCGUUAGCGCCGUAGCUGGGAGUCGCCAUGAUCUAGUUCUUCUUCGUCAGAGCUUCUAUCUCCUUCCUUUUUUUCCUUCGUGUUUUUUGUUUGCGGAUCCUGAGGGCAACAAGGGGGGGUUGCUGUUCUGGAUCCAGCCUUCUCUUGUUUACUUAGCAUUUUUUUUCGGGCUGUUUUGUUUGUUGAUUACGGCCAGAAGGAGAGAUCCAUUUUUGGGUACAUCCAAUUGGCAAAGUCAGUAUAAAGCCCAAACAGACGA
rnacentral:lncRNA from 1 species